GCUUUAACACAAUAAACCCAGAAUUUGAAGACUAGAACAGUGGCAAUGCCAUACAUCCAAAAGACUAAGAAGGACACGUAAAUAAGCUCAGCAACUCUAAUAAAUACAACAAGGAAAUAGAACGGGCGAGAAAUUUAAAAGAAAAAAAAUGCAUUAUUUUCUAGCUACUAGAAAAACAAAGAAGACUUCAAGUUGACAGCAAAUACGAACAGAAGAAAAGUCGAAUUGAGACCACAAGUAAAACCAAUUCCUGAAACAAGUAUGAAAAAGACCCAAUCUUUAUUUUAUUCCUUUUCUUAAAAACCAAUGAAGGAGAAAAGAAAAGGCAAGUACCUCAAUAGCGUUCUUCAAAAGAAGGUCAUCUUCAGGUAUCCAAGUGGAAAGGGCUGGCGCCAAAGCCCCCAUCUAUUUUGGAGCACAACUAAGCAAGAAGGAGCCGCCUUUCAACCCCUCCCCCCUUUUCUUUAUAUUCGUUUUACAACUUUGUCUUCCCACGAUUUAUGUCUGGCGAAGCGUUGGUUUGGGUCUCUCCAAGUGUGUGAACCAUGAAAACGAAAAACAAAAGAACAAAAAAGAGUGUGUGGGAGGGAAUUUUAAGAGGAAACCUAGAACUAAAAACUGAAACCAGAGGACAGUAGAAUAGAUUAGCUAACCUGGAACAGUAGAAGUCUGCAUUUUGCAAAGUUAGGGGUUUCAGGGGGAAAGUAGGAAUUUCGAAAAUUUGGGAAUAAUACGGCGUUUUACAAAAAAUGCCACAAAAA
rnacentral:lncRNA from 1 species